rnacentral:rRNA from 1 species
UACGGGGGGGGCAAGCGUUGUUCGGAAUUACUGGGCGUAAAGGGCUCGUAGGCGGUUUGUCGCGUCGGGAGUGAAAACUCAGGGCUCAACCCUGAGCGUGCUUCCGAUACGGGCAGACUAGAGGUAUGCAGGGGAGAACGGAAUUCCUGGUGUAGCGGUGGAAUGCGCAGAUAUCAGGAGGAACACCGGUGGCGAAGGCGGUUCUCUGGGCAUUACCUGACGCUGAGGAGCGAAAGCAUGGGGAGCGAACAGG